UGCAAAAAUUUGAGGAAAGAUUGUUCUGCAUAAUCAAGGACAGUUGAGAGGUAUGCUUGGGUGCUGUGUACACCUUACAAAUCAAUCUCAAAAGGUGAUGGAUAUGGCUAAAUGUGCACUGCAAAUUACUAAGAGAAGGCUGAGAAAGAUGCAAUUUAAAUCAGUACUGUUAGUUAAUAAAACAACGUGGCUUUCUAAAGUGCACUUCAGCCAUACGUCUUAACAAGGGGUAAUUAUUUUACCAAUUAGGUACGCCCCUGCCUUGGUGAUGUGAAGGGUUUUGGCUCUCAUUUGUGAAGUGUCUCUGUUCAGUAUCUGUGGUGGAUGUUUACUAAGACAUAAAAAUAAACAGGGGGGAAAUGGUUGUGUGUGUUUAGUAGUGUGAAAAUGCAGUUUGAUGUUAGCUGUAAGACACUAGCAGUGGUUUGACAUGCAAGCAGCAGUGAAUUAUUGUAUAUGGGGCAAGGGAAUGUAUUAGCCCUUUCCAGGUGUCUGACUUUUCCUCACAGUUAUGGGGCAAUAAAGUAAGGGGAUACAGGGGAACAGGAGGGUUGCAUCUGAAAAAAUUUAGUUUUAUUUUUUGUACUGUUGAAAAUCUGCGUUACUUCUGUGACUACAUGAAUCUGUUUUGACAUAUUUGCACACUCACUCACUCCUGCUUCAUUGUCUAUGAAGCACAUUAUAAACAUCUGAAAAUCUGAGAAGGAAAGUGAAAGACCCGUGUUAGCUCUUCAGUAGAGCCGAACAACUUCCAAAAUCCUGUACUUAUAUUUGGAAUUUGAAGCUUCUGCUUCCUUCCCUAACUUACCUGACCUGUUGUCGUAAAUGGAAGAGUGAUGCCUCCUCCCCUAGCUGCUAACCAACUUAGCAGCUAUGUUUGAGCCAAGUGCAGGCAAAUAGGAUUGCUUUGUGACUGAAAUGAGACCCAGUGGCAUAAGCCCACAUCAAUGACAGUGGCAACUCUCUCCUGAAAUGUAUCACACAGGAAAUGUGGAAUGAAGAGGAUACCAAGGGUAGCAUCUCAGAAGUCCCUUAGGAAACAAUAGCAGCACUGAGCAACCCAAGCCAGAAAUGAAUGCUGCUACCACUGAGUUAGAGUUUAGAAGGUCUCUGAACCCACUGAUGUGUUAACAUUUAAAACAAGUAAAUGUGUAACCUAUGUUAGCAAUGAACACUGUUAGAGUCCUAGAACGUGGAUACCAAACAUAUACAGACGUAAGCUGCGAGCAGCUGAAGCACAUAAAACCUAGGUUAGUACCCUUCCUUAAGGGGCAAGGCACACCACAUGCAGCUGUUGGGUUAGCACCUUUCCAGAAGGAGUACUGGGUGCAUCUAUGGAGUCAGAAAUCUUUUUGAAAAAACACAGUAUACCAAGUACAUCAGUUGAGUCAAUACCCUUCCAAAAAGAGUAUCAAGUGAAUCACUGAGUUACUGCCCUUCCACAGAGAGUAUCAGGUGCAUCUGUUGGGUUAGUACCCUUCCUGUAGGAGUAUCAGGUGCAUCCAUUGGGUUAGCACACUUCCUGAAGGAGUAUCAGGUGCAUCCGUUGGGUUAGCACCCUUCCUGAAGGAGUAUCAGGUGCAUCUGUUGGGUUAGUACCUUUCCUGAAGGAGUAUCAGGUGCAUCCAUUGGGUUAGCACACUUCCUGAAGGAGUAUCAGGUGCAUCCGUUGGGUUAGCACCCUUCCUGAAGGAGUAUCAGGUGCAUCUGUUGGGUUAGUAUCCUUCCCGAAGGAGUAUUAGGUUAGUACCCUUCCUGAAGGAGUAUCAGGUCCAUCUUUGGGCUAGUACCUUUCCUGAAGGUUAUGGUCAUGCCCUCUGCCAUCUUCUCAAGUUUUUUUCUUAUUUCAUGACAUGUGACCACUAUCGGAAGCACAAAUGUUACACAGCAAAAAAACAGGGCUUUAAAACUUAUUUUGGACAUAGCGUGUAAUGCAGAAAGGGGAUCUUAUGAAGAUUUAAAAAGUGAAUGCAGAUGUGCAGAACAGCUUCCAACACCAAGCAUACAUCUCCUGAGGGCUAGGAACUAAGAUUGGACAUGCAUUAUUAUUUUUUGGGGGAGAGAAAUAAGAAAGCUUGCAAAACACUAUUCUCGCAUACUGCAGUUUUUAUGAUUUUAGACAGGCUUCAAUAUUUCCAAGUUUCCAAAAAGAGAAAAAAAAAUGACAUGAAAUAAAAAAGAAUCAGUAAAUCUAUAUUUAUUAGUUUGCAACUCAGUGAAUUAAAAACUGCAGCCAUGCAUAACGUCUCUGUGUAAUAUGUCUAUAAUGCAUUAAAUUUAAUAGGUUCAUAGGGGUACCCCAUCUACUUACAAAAUAGUUUAAAUUCUGAUAAAUUGCUGGCAUUUCAUAGGGGAGAUCCAAGGAAAGGGAUACUUGCAUAACUUGUAAAACUAGCCAGCUGUACUGGCACUGAGUGAGAAAACCCUGAGUAUAAUUCAGGUAACCUGAGUUUGACUAUCACUCGGGCAUCAGCUGGAGUUAAAUGGCGAGAGAGAGAGGCGUGACAUGGUUAUGCUGGCUCACCACUCUUUUUUUGGGGGGGGGGUGUCUGGGGUGCUUGUUCCCACUAAAUGAACCACAGUGGAGACUAGGGGUCUUAUGGCAGUACUUGCUCAGAGGGGGGUCAGUUUUGAAACAUCACUCACUUAUGGAAGUGCAUGCUCUCACCGAUACCCAAUGUAUCCUGAAUUUGGGACAAACUAGCAUAAACAGUAGGAGUCAGAGAAUUAAAAGUGAAACACCCUCACCUUAGAAGGGUAAUGGGUUUUCUGUCUGCCCUCAUCCCCCACACCUAGGAGGGGGUGAGUGGGCCACAGGGCUCCUUUUUCAUGAGGAGAGGGCAUGGACUGCACUGAACAAGCAAGAGAAAUGGAGUCUGACAGUCACAGCAGCAGGAUGGAAAAAAUGGCCCCAUCUAUGAAAUUUGCAGCAUUUUCAUAUGAAGAAGGCAGAGUGAAUUAGCACAUUUUUAUUUUGUAUUUGUCUCAGACAAAAUAUAGUAGACUCGUUCUUUUGUACUUAGGGAGGCUUGACAGCUUUUCUGUAGCAUUAGGGAAGAUUUUGUGAAACAAGGGAAUGGAUAUUUUCAUGAAAUAACUGUGCCAUUUAAAAAUUUAACUGGGAAAGGUAAAGAACUAAUAAACGGUUGUGGGUCAAGCAGACAAAAAAAAGUUAUGAGAACAGUGCAGCUAACCAGGGUUAAGAAAGCUUGACACAAUGAUAAGGGAAAGCUGGGGCUGAUCAGUCAAAGAAAUUGACCCCCCC